AGUGAACGCUGGCGGUAGGCCUAACACAUGCAAGUCGAACGGCAGCACAGUAAGAGCUUGCUCUUACGGGUGGCGAGUGGCGGACGGGUGAGGAAUACAUCGGAAUCUACUUUUUCGUGGGGGAUAACGUAGGGAAACUUACGCUAAUACCGCAUACGACCUACGGGUGAAAGCAGGGGAUCUUCGGACCUUGCGCGAUUGAAUGGGCCGAUGUCGGAUUAGCUAGUUGGCGGGGUAAAGGCCCACCAAGGCGACGAUCCGUAGCUGGUCUGAGAGGAUGAUCAGCCACCCUGGAACUGAGACACGGUCCAGUCUCCUACGGGCGGCUGCCGUGGGUAAUAUUGGACAAUGGGCGCAAGCCUUAUCCAGCCAUACCGCGUGGGUUAAGAAGGCCUUCGGGUUGUAAAGCCCUUUUGUUGGGAAAGAAAAGCAGCAGGUUAAUACCCCGCUGUUCUGACGGUACCCAAAGAAUAAGCACCGGCUAACUUCGUG
rnacentral:rRNA from 1 species